AGGUGAGAGCCGUACCUGUGAUUUUGCUUGACCACGGGUAGACCUCAGCGUCAGGACGAAGGAUCAGGAGGGAAAUCUCAGCCAUAAUUCGUGCCUAUAAUGCAACCUGCACCAGAUUGAUCGCCUCAGCGCAAGGAUUGAUUUGCCACAGCACCAGACCUGAUCAACUGCAGCGCUUAGACUGAUCAGCCUAGGCACUUCGACUGGAACACCCGCUGCGCCAGGACUGAUCCACUUGCAGCAACAGGAGUGAUUAGCUGUAUCACCUGAACUGAUCAAUUGCAGUACCAGGAGUGAUCAGGUAUACCACCUGAGUUGAUCAUUAAUACCACCACGAGUGACCAGCUGUACCGUUUGAGCUGAUCGCUAGCAGCACCAAAGUGCUACACAUAGCUCCUCAAGGACUGAUGCCAGAAAGUAGCGACGGAGUGACACGCAUAAACUGAAGCUAGUGUGUAGAACGAGUGAGUGGUGGUGAGUGGCACCUGUGGAAACGAAUGUGUUGAAAAGCGGGAGAAGCUCCAUGUCUGUUGUAACGAACCAGAGGAGGUGUGACCGAUCCCUUUGGUCCUGUUUUGUAAUAUGAUGCUGUCAGGCUAUUAGAAUUUUUGGAAGAAAACAGUAAUAAAGGAGAAUUACAAAAAUCAAAAGAGACAGAAAGAGGAGGCAAACCUCUCUUCUCUUUUGUUAUCACUGACAGGAGAGAGAGGAUAACUAAGAAUUAUGAAUACAGUAUUUUGUAAGCAAAAUAAUGGCUCUUGAAGCUUUUCAGAGAAACUAUUGGAACUGUCCGUCUGCACCAGGAGCUACAUACACUGAAAGGAUGAACUGUGUGUGUGUAUUUUUUUUUAAACUAAGUAUUUCAGUGUGUGUGUAUGUGUAUUGAAGUAUGUGAACUAGGCCGCACUGGGGAAUGAUCCCAUGUUUCUCUUCCAGGUUACGUGGGCUGGCAACAACGGGGUAGCGAGGUGGCUGUAUUCUUUUAUUAGUACACAAUCCUGCGUUCGGUGUUUACUUAUUUCGGUUUUGAGACUUAAAAUGGAGCCUAUUUUCUGCUUGAGAAGCACCAGUCGAUUUGAUUCCUUUGUAAUGCCUAAAACGAACAUUCAGUAAGCUGUAGUUUUUUAGUGCGUAGAUGGUUACCAUCAACAGUUCAAAAUUUACCACGUUAUUGUGCUUUAUUCACCGUGUAAAUCUAUAAUGAGCAGGCACGAGGAGACCUUCAGAGAGCGGUUGUAGACACUUCUUGUCUAACUAGUCUUAACCAUCCAUCCACUCGAUGAUUUGUAUUGUUGAUAUUACCCUCUAGUAAGUACAAAUGGCUCACUUCAUUCUUAAAUUUAGAUAUAGAAAAGUUGCUUUUGUUGGUACAAGCAUCGCUGCACAAACUUUGUGACUUGAAAUGUAUGCAUUAGUGUAUUAGCUUUGCCGUGUGGAAUGGAGUGCUUUAGAAUAGAAUAUCUGACUAGCUCGUAGCAGCAUUACAAUGUGUCGCAUCUCAUGUCUUUCCUCAACUUGUAUAGGUACUACAUUAAUACUAAGAUUUGUCAGCUAAUGCUCGAAAUAUCUUUAUAUAGAAUAUAAAUAUAAAUUAUUCAUAAUGAUGCACGAUAAUAAGUUAUAAUAAUACCCAUUCGAAUUGUUUAAUACAAAAAUUCAUACCCUUUCGCUCGGGCUUUCGCUGUCGCCAGAACGAUACUCGGCGUCAUGUACAGAUUAAUUGACACUUGUGGAGCCGAGAACAGCUUCGAGUGACUGACUAGUGUGUUGCUUCACUGGUCACUAUACUCUACUGUGUACCUUGAAGUGUUGUUUUGUUUUGACUUUUGCGUAGCAUCGAUUCUUACCCCCAGUGCGGCCGAGGGCAGUAAUGGAGUGUACUGUACUACACCAUCGCUUAACUAUGACUUGUGAUUGUGAUAUUCGGAAGUCUCUGCCAAUAUAUAACUCGGUAAUUCCUUGCGUUGUUUCAGUAGUUCGAAAUAAACGUUAGAGGAAAAGAUGUAGUUUGUAUUGGAAGCCAUUUUGUAUUGUGUAUUCUGCAGCUGUAUGAUAGCCUUUGUAUAUACGCUUGUAUGUAACGAAAUCUUGUAUUUACUUUGAUAAGGAGUUCUGUCAUAGGAUUAUCAGUAUUUCGUCUAGCGUCUUUGAAUCACCUGCGGGCUCUGGGAGGGUCAUAACCGGGGGUUUUAGUCUUGCAUUUGGCCAGACCUGCACACAGUUUUGUUUUUUCGAUUAACCUCGUCUGUAGAGAUUUUCUCAGUUUCUUCAUUUUAUUUUAUUCUCGAUGUUUUUUCUUGGAUUUAUUGUGGAAACUUCAAUCGAGUUCUUUAGUUUAUCUGCUCUGCUGUAGGUUUUUUUUAUAUAGUCUACUAAUCCCACCUUCAAAAGUCCUCUUGAAGAUUUGACCUUACAUCUUUACCCAGAUAAAUUGGCUCAGUCCAUUUGUAGGAUGACUUCGUAACACUUAUGUUUGGUACUCACAUUGCACAUUGUAUCCCUUCAUCUCCCUAACCAUAAUAUUUCGCAUCACUUAAACUGAACGAAUCACCCGCUAAAUAUUACAGUCAGUCAAAGAUGAACCCAGCAGCUUCAGCUUAAUAUUACAAUUAUUAACAUUAUCUUUUUUGUUGACUUUGUGGUCGUGUUUGAAGUGUGAUGUAGAAGUCAUAAUCCUAUUUUAAUGAUAGUAUUGUUUAUAGUUCUGCCUCAAAGUAUCGUGUUGAUAAGUAAUAUUUAGUUAACUGUCUCUUAAAAGCAGAAAAAUUUUAUAAGUGGCCACAACCAAACGUUUCAAUUCCUUUAGACCAGAGGUCACCAAACUACGGCCCGCGGGCCGGAUCCCAAGUCCUUCCCCGGCUCGUGGGAGCUCCGCCUACGCUCUGACGUUACCAGAGCUUUCGUUCUGGCUUGCAAGUAUUGAACAGAAUGAUUAUGCGGCCCGCGCUCGUCAUUCUUUCAGUUAUCCGGCCCACUGUGAAAAAAGUUUGGUGACCCCUGCUUUAGACUAAAGACUCAGCCAACAGGAUCUCCCCCCUUGCUUAAUCAGUAGUGCGUACAGUCAAAGAAAAAAGGCGCUUUACACUUACCGUGCUUAAUGUUCUGAAACCUAAGACGAAGAAUUUUGGUUCAGACUUGAACCUUAAAGCUUCGUUGUCACUUUACCAAAAUUCUUCGUCAUUGAUUUCGGAACAAAACGCUACGGGGUGUAAGACGGCGACUUUUUUCUGUGAACAAAGAUAACUUGUCACUACAAGAAAGUAACAAACAUAGUGUUACCCCAUCUCUCAUAGCCUCGUAUUACCACUCAUCUCCACUCUGUAUAAAUACAUUUCCCUUUUCACUAAUUCCAUCAAUGUUCAUCUUACACCAGAUCAUUUUGACAAUACAUAUUCAACCUCAGGUGUUAACAGUUGAGGGAAAUGUUCCUCGCAGUUUAUGCCAAUUGCUGUUUUUAGCUUCCUUUAUUUGAUAAAACAUAUCUAUUGGGGCCGUUUGGUAGCUGCCACCCCUGGAGCCCCUUCUGGUUAUUAGACGAAAAAGACUACCUGGUAUGUGACUGGAGUGUUGCCAUAUUGCGUUCCAUGUAGGAUUCCCUCUGCAUGAGUAGUCUGCCUGGCUUAGGCUUGGAGACUUAUUUUCAUUCACUUACAUUGGGAACAUCUUUAGAGAGUUUCUGGUUAGAUACGUGUGUGUGUUGUUUUAUGUUAUUAAUAUGAAAUAAAUUCUAAUUAGUUAAGGAUAUAACUUAUAAUUUGAUGAAUUUAAUGAUAUUAAAAGUGGACCUUUUAUAUCAUUUGAAUAUCGAGCUGUUGAGAGUCUUUGUCUUACAUAAAACGAUGCAUGCAUAUUAGCAUGAAAAAAUCCAGAUGUUUUCUUUCUUGAUUCUUCGCAUUUGAAUCCCAAGCAAAUACUCCCGAUUUAAGCUCAGUUUGACAGUAGAGGGUCGGGCCUUCGCGGGCUCAUCAGUGGCUCAGCUUAUUCAGUUGCUGUUUUGAAGGAAAUACUAAGCUAAGCUGUAUUUACAUGUGCGCAUUUUUGUAGGUUCGACUUCAUCGUUCUUCGAUCACGGAACCAUAAAGUCAUAACUGUGACGUCCAUAGCAUGGAGAAUAAUAGACUCCUUGAUCAGAGAGCAAAUAAUGCCUUCUCGGGAUUUUAGAUCCCGCAAAAUAACGGAGCAGACCUUGUUUAUUGACGUCAUAUCUCUGAUCGAGAAUCCACAAGUCACUAAUAAGUCUAACCUACACUAUCGCCACCUGGAUUCUUCCGAACUUGUGUUUACAGUCUUCGAGGGAAGACUCAAGAUAGCCCUCGUUUUUGCAAGUCUUUUUAUUAAUCUUAACAUAAAAGAGAGAUGUAUUAGUCUCGCUCAUUCUUGGUGUAAGUUUUGUCAUACUUAUUUUUACUUCUUUAAGUGUAAGUUCAUGCAUAAGUCAGUCGAGUAGGCCAUAUUCUGUAAAUAUUGUAAAAGUUAUUUAAUAAAAUAUCGCUGAAACAAAA